GGGUGUGAUCAUACCCUUACUAAUGCACCGGAUCCCAUCAGUACUCCGCAAUUAAGCAUGCUUGGGCGAGGAUAGUACUGGGAUGGGUGACCUCCUGGGAAGUCCUUGUGUUGCACCCC
rfam:Gossypium arboreum cultivar AKA8401 contig_1046_1, whole genome shotgun sequence.